CAAAUAUUUGUUUUAAUCACUGUAAUCUCUUGCUUGUCAGCAGCUGAUAACAAUGCAGAAACAUUUUGGAGGAAUACACUGAGGUCAGGAGAGUUACUCCAGAUUUACAAUGGUCUCCGUUCAGAAACAGUUUCCUGCAAUGCAACCAGUUUUUGUUUGAAGACAGAAGCUUUAAUCUUGUGCUGAAAAUAUCCAGCUCCUCCGGGCACCAAGGCUUGUUGGGUCACAUCUGGAGUACCCAUGACAGCUCCACUUUGUUUCCAUCCAGGUCCCCCAGCUGACCAAUGGCUUGGACCUUACCAUCCACCAGCCUUGUAAAAGGGUUAAGGAGUGCUAUGAGAACCUGAACCAAAACUUUUUUAAUUUUAUGCAUCUUCAUCUUCCCAUCCAGAACCACAGACAAGAAGUGCAAAAAUACUACAUGAAAAACUGUGCUUGCAGUAUUUCUGUCUUAACAAGCAGUGCCAGAAAGUUUGCAUCAAAAGCCUGUUCUCGUGAGAAAUCUUGCUCAGUUUUGCAGGCCCAAGUGAUUAGGACAGAGCAGGUGAGAACCCUAACUUUUUGAGGUUCACUUAUCAUUACUGCAACUAGCAACAAAAUCAUUGGGAUAAAAAACAAGAACAACAAAAAAAGGGUGGAAUAAGAUGGUGCAAAAAUAGUGAAAAGUAAGAAAGAUGUAUCAAAGUAGAAAACAUCAAGCAGAGAAGAAAUGCAAGUUAUAUAAUCUAAGCUUUUUACCUAGUGAAAUGGAGAAUAAUGAGAUAAUUGCACACCAAAUUAAGCUAACUGAUACAUGUGAUCAGUUAUGACAUGAGUUAUUAACAUCCCGUAGUUACAGCAAAACUGCACAAGAUUUUGUAGCAAGUACUGUGCAGUAUACAGUAGUUUCAUUGAAAAUAAUGGUAACUAUAAACUACUCCAUCACAUAAUAAUUAUGCAAACAACUCAUGUUACCAUGCUGGUCAAAGAAGGCUAACAGCCAGUAUUGAGUUACUGACCUCACAGUGUUUGCAAAAGAAGGUCCGAGCAGAUGAGACUAAGAAAUGCAUUUACCAAAGCAGGAAGAAGGAAUUCUGAAGGGAAUCACAAUCAUGUCAGAACAGGUGGUCAAGAAAUUAAAGUAUGGACAAAACUCCAGGAGCAGACAGAAUAAUCCCAGAAGUCUGAAGAAAGUCACAAGAAAAAAAAAGGGAUUUCAUUAGUGAGUAUAGUUAAACUAGGAAUAGUUUAAAAUAGGUUCUCUUUUCUGAAACUUGCAUUUUCAGGAUCAGUUUAAUAUUCAAAGAACUUGGUUAAAGUUUCUGGCUUGCUUGCUGGGGAACCCACCCUCCUCUGAAUACACUAAAAAGAGUGACUAAAUUUCUAAAUACUUAUCCUCUUUCUAGUGCUUCUCUUAUGUAGAACUUGGUGUGAAAACUUUUCCAUACAAAAACAGCAUUUUUCACAAUUUCGAAAGGGGAGAAGUCACAUUUGCCCAAUAAUUAAAUAGGUUUUAAAUUUUAAUUUUUUUUCAAACCAAACAAGCUGUAGCCAUAUCUCCA